GGACUACAGGGGUAUCUAAUCCUGUUUGAUCCCCACACUUUCGUGCCUCAGCGUCAAAUAUAGCUUAGUGAGCUGCCUUCGCAAUCGAUAUUCUGUGUGAUAUCUAAGCAUUUCACCGCUACACCACACAUUCCACCCACUUCAACUACUUUCCAGCCAUACAGUAUCAAUGGCAAUGUUACAGUUAAGCUGCAAGAUUUCACCACUGACUUAUAUAACCGCCUACGCACCCUUUAAACCCAAUAAAUCCGGAUAACGCUUGCAUCCUCCGUAUUACCGCGGCUGCUGGCAC
rnacentral:rRNA from 1 species